rnacentral:rRNA from 1 species
CGUCUAUAUACGUAUAGCAUAUCAAUAAGCGGAGGAAAAGAAACUAACAAGGAUUCCCUUAGUAACGGCGAGUGAAGCGGGAAGAGCUCGAAUUUGAAAUCUUCAAGGUUCUACCUUGACGAAUUGUAGUUUAAAGAAGUGUUUUCUGUUAGAGGAGUAGCAAAAGUUCCUUGGAAUGGGACAUCAUAGAGGGUGAGAAUCCCGUAUUUGGUUAUUCUUUCUAGCUUUGUGAUACACUUUCAAAGAGUCGGAUUGUUUGGGAAUGCAGUCCAAAAUGGGUGGUAAAUUUCAUCUAAAGCUAAAUAUUGGCGAGAGACCGAUAGCGAACAAGUACCGUGAGGGAAAGAUGAAAAGAACUUUGAAAAGAGAGUUAAACAGUACGUGAAAUUGUCAAAAGGGAAGCGUUUGACACCAGUGUUGCUUUUUCCGAAAAUCAAUUAAGAGUGGCUUGAUUUUGUGUUGUAUUGACCUUAUCAGCUUUCUUCACUCUUUUUCGAGUCUUUCUUAAUGCACUUUUCGGUUAACAAGUCAACAUCAAUUUCUUUUGUUGUAAAAGGGUAUUUGGAAGGUGGCUUUCUUUUCGGAGAAAGUGUUUAUAGCCUUAUACCUCUACAAUCGGAGAGAUUGAGGUCUGCAGCGUAGAUCCUUCGGGGCUAGAUACACUUGUGCUAAGUUAUAGCUUUUCAUAGACAACUUGUUGACUAUGUUUAGUCAUGUAGCUUACCCGCUUGUGCUAUUUUACCUACGCUUAGGAUGUUGAGUCAUCACACAUCUCU